UACGUAGGGUCCGAGCGUUGUCCGGAAUUACUGGGCGUAAAGAGCUCGUAGGUGGUUUGUCGCGUUGUUCGUGAAAACUCACAGCUCAACUGUGGGCGUGCGGGCGAUACGGGCAGACUAGAGUACUGCAGGGGAGACUGGAAUUCCUGGUGUAGCGGUGGAAUGCGCAGAUAUCAGGAGGAACACCGGUGGCGAAGGCGGGUCUCUGGGCAGUAACUGACGCUCAUGCACGAAAGCGUGGGGAGCAAACAGG
rnacentral:rRNA from 1 species